GACGAACGCUGGCGGCGUGCUUUAACACAUGCAAGUCGAACGGUGAAAGAGGAGCUUGCUCUCUGGAAUCAGUGGCGAACGGGUGAGUAACACGUGAGUNACCUGCCCUUGACUCUGGGAUAAGCGUUGGAAACGACGUCUAAUACCGGAUACGAACCGCGAAGGCAUCUUCUGCGGUUGGAAAGAAUUUCGGUCAAGGAUGGACUCGCGGCCUAUCAGCUUGUUGGUGAGGUAAUGGCUCACCAAGGCGACGACGGGUAGCCGGCCUGAGAGGGUGACCGNCCACACUGGGACUGAGACACGGCCCAGACUCCUACGGGAGGCAGCAGUGGGGAAUAUUGCACAAUGGGCGCAACUGNAUGCAGCAACGCCGCGUGAGGGAUGACGGCCUUCGGGUUGUAAACCUCUUUUAGUAGGGAAGAAGCGAAAGUGACGGUACCUGCAGAAAAAGCACCGGCUAACUACGUGCCAGCAGCCGCGGUAAUACGUAGGGUGCAAGCGUUGUCCGGAAUUAUUGGGCGUAAAGAGCUCGUAGGCGG
rnacentral:rRNA from 1 species